ACCCUUUUCUACGGAAUAGCUCUGGGAAACUGGAAUUAAUACCGUAUACGCCCUACGGGGGAAAGAUUUAUCGGGGAAGGAUUGGCCCGCGUUGGAUUAGCUAGUUGGUGGGGUAAAGGCCUACCAAGGCGACGAUCCAUAGCUGGUCUGAGAGGAUGAUCAGCCACAUUGGGACUGAGACACGGCCCAAACUCCUACGGGAGGCAGCAGUGGGGAAUAUUGGACAAUGGGCGCAAGCCUGAUCCAGCCAUGCCGCGUGAGUGAUGAAGGCCUUAGGGUUGUAAAGCUCUUUCACCGAUGCAGAUAAUGACGGUAGUCGGAGAAGAAGCCCCGGCUAACUUCGUGCCAGCAGCCGCGGUAAUACGAAGGGGGCUAGCGUUGUUCGGAAUUACUGGGCGUAAAGCGCACGUAGGCGGAUAUUUAAGUCAGGGGUGAAAUCCCAGAGCUCAACUCUGGAACUGCCUUUGAUACUGGGUAUCUUGAGUAUGGAAGAGGUAAGUGGAAUUGCGAGU
rnacentral:rRNA from 1 species